UUGAACAGUUCAUCAUCCCAACAAUUACUUAGACCUUAAAAAAAAUCAAAAAAAUAUUUUAUAUACAAAAUUAUUAUGUGUCAAAACAUUAAAAUUCAAUGAAAGGAGUUUAAUUCAAUAUUUUGAAUACCUUAUCAUUUUAAAUUAAUUGUUAUGGCUGGAAAAACAAAAAGGAAUAAUCAAACCAUGAGACGACGCACAAGAGUUUCAUCGGCAUCAACAAGCCAAAGAAGAAAUUCUCGUCGACCAAGGAAAAAACCAACUAAAGAAUCCAAACUUGACUAUCACAUGAGACGCUAUGUAAGAAAAUUGGGAGCAAAUUUUCGCAUUCGAUAAGAUGUCGAACCGAACCCCAACCUUUAUAACGUGCGUUUGUGUUUCGUUUCUGUAACAUUCUGUAUGUACAUACAUUAAAAUGUGAAAAUUCUUAUUUUAACCUUAA